rnacentral:rRNA from 1 species
GACGAACGCUGGCGGCGUGCCUAAUACAUGCAAGUUGAGCGCUGAAGGUUGGUACUUGUACCAACUGGAUGAGCAGCGAACGGGUGAGUAACGCGUGGGGAAUCUGCCUUUGAGCGGGGGACAACAUUUGGAAACGAAUGCUAAUACCGCAUAAAAACUUUAAACACAAGUUUUAAGUUUGAAAGAUGCAAUUGCAUCACUCAAAGAUGAUCCCGCGUUGUAUUAGCUAGUUGGUGAGGUAAAGGCUCACCAAGGCGAUGAUACAUAGCCGACCUGAGAGGGUGAUCGGCCACAUUGGGACUGCGACACGGCCCAAACUCCUACGGGAGGCAGCAGUAGGGAAUCUUCGGCAAUGGACGAAAGUCUGACCGAGCAACGCCGCGUGAGUGAAGAAGGGUUUCGGAUCGUAAAACUCUGUUGGUAGAGAAGAACGUUGGUGAGAGUGGAAAGCUCAUCAAGUGACGGUAACUACCCAGAAAGGGACGGCUAACUACGUG